rnacentral:rRNA from 1 species
GACGAACGCUGGCGGCGUGCUUAACACAUGCAAGUCGAACGGACAGGCCCUGCUUUUGUGGGGCGCUCGAGUGGCGAACGGGUGAGUAAAACGCGAGUAACCUGCCCUUGUCUUUGGGAUAACUCCAGGAAACUGGGGCUAAUACCGGAUAGGAGCUCCUGCUGCAUGGUGGGGGAUGGAAAGUUUCGGCGGUUGGGGAUGGACUCGCGGCUUAUCCGCUUGUUGGUGAGGUAGUGGCUUACCAAGGCUUUGACGGGUAGCCGGCCUGAGAGGGUGACCGGGCACAUGAGGACUGAGAGACGGCCCAGACGCCUACGGGAGGCAGCAGUGGAGAAUAUUGCACAGUGGGCGGAAGCCUGAGGCAGCAGCGCCGCGUGCGGGAUGACGGCCUUCGAGUUGUAAACCGCUUUCGCCUGUGACGAAGCGUGAGUGGCGGUAAUGGGUAAAGAAGCACCGGCUAACUACGUG